rnacentral:rRNA from 1 species
AUGAACGCUGGCGGCGUGCUUCACACCUGCCAGUCGAACGAAGCACUUUAUUUGAUUUCCUUCGGGACUGAUUAUUUUGUGACUGAGUGGCGGACGGGUGAGUAACGCGUGGGUAACCUGCCUUGUACAGGGGGAUAACAGUUGGAAACGGCUGCUAAUACCGCAUAAGCGCACGGCAUCGCAUGAUGCAGUGUGAAAAACUCCGGUGGUAUAAGAUGGACCCGCGUUGGAUUAGCUAGUUGGUGAGGUAACGGCCCACCAAGGCGACGAUCCAUAGCCGACCUGAGAGGGUGACCGGCCACAUUGGGACUGAGACACGGCCCAAACUCCUACGGGAGGCAGCAGUGGGGAAUAUUGCACAAUGGGCGAAAGCCUGAUGCAGCGACGCCGCUGAGCGAAGAAGUAUUUCGGUAUGUAAAGCUCUAUCAGCAGGGAAGAUAAUGACGGUACCUGACUAAGAAGCACCGGCUAAAUACGUG